CUCCAUUUUGCUAAUUCUUGGUUCCCACUCACUCACUUAGUGUCCAAAUUAAAACCUAUUUUUGUAAGGCUCCCUCUUCUCGAUUCCGUCACCACCUACGAAACCCGCUCCGUCUUCUCGACACCAUCACCACCUGCGAAACCCACUCCAUCUCGACUCCAUCACCACCUGUGAAACCUGCUCAGUCUCCACUCCAUCACCACCUGUGAACCCGCUCUGUCUUCGCGACUCCAUCACCACCUGUGAAACCCGCUCCGUCUUCUUGACUCCAUCACCACCUGCGAAACCCAUUCCGCCUUCUCGACUCCAUCACCACCUACGCAACCUCUGCUUCGUCUUUUCUCGACUCCAUCACCACCUGCGAAACCCUUCACACCGUCUAUCGUUAAUCGGCCAGGGACUUACCACCGUGGUCGUCGUGCCGUCAUCAGUUCUCGUGGUCGUCGCGCGAUUCACCUCUUCGUUGCACGAUUCAGCCUCAUCGUCGCGCAUUCACCUUCGUCGUCGCGCCCUCGUGCAGGAUGCUUGAUGAUAUUUUUGACUGAAGUCUUUUGAUUUUCACCUAAUACUCUUGUUUAGGAAGAGAUGGUGAAGGCUAAGUUUGAGGCAGCUGUCAUAGAAGCAGAGUUGAGCGCGAUAUUUCAUAUCAGUAGAAUCAUAAAACUUAAGGAAAGAGAGUUAGAGCAUCUCUUGCAAAGGUGUUGGUGAAGACAAGAGGAUGAAGAAUGAUAAAAAAAUUCCAAAUGGGCAGCUUCUUUCCAAAAUUGAAGAAUAUGAAACUUCAGAGUAUGAAGAGUCUAAGUAAGAUAUGGAAUCCGAAACUUCCUUCAGACUCCUUUAGCGAACUAGACACUCUAAUCAUUGAAGAGUGUCACAAACUUGUAAAUGCAAUGGAGAGAAUAUUUGGGAGUCUAUGCAACUUGAGAGUUAAAAAUUGCAGGUCCAUGGAAGCAAUAUUUAAUAUAUGUGAGAAAGUUGGGGAUGUAGCUAAUAACUUGCAAGAUGUUCAUUUAGAAACACUCCCCAAACUGAAGCAUGUAUGGAAAAUGAAUAAUAAAGACCAGGUAGGGAUUCCUAAGUUUAACAAUCUGAAGAGGAUAUUGGCUAAAGAUUGUGACAGCUUAGAAUAUAUAUUUCCAUUUUAUGUAGCCAAUAGUCUUGAUAAUCUUGAAUCUCUUGUGGUUUGUGGUUGCUAUGGAUUGAAUAAAAUUGUUGUCGAAAGGGAAGCCACCAACAUGGACAUAGCCAGAUUUAACUUUCCUAAACUAAGCACCAUCAAAUUUUCAGAACUGCCAAAACUAACGAGCUUCUAUCCAAUAACUUAUGACUUAUCAUGUCCAUUGAAAGAGCUGUCUAUUGAACUUUGUAACAAUCUGGAACCAUUCAACGAAGGAACCCAGCAUGGACAAGGAAAUCAUGUACGUGUAUUCUUCUUUCCUGAAGAGGUAAUCAAUAACUUGAAGUCCAUGCAAAUUGAUUCUCGGUGUGCAAAGUCAUCAAGCAGUUCUAUGGAUAAAAGGAACCAUCAAAGGGACAACUUAGAAGAACUUUCCUUGUCUAGAUUAAUAGAUAGUGAGAUUUUAUAUUCUUUCCUAUAUAGAAAUCCUAAUUUGAAAAGUCUAUCAUUGAAUAAUUGUUUCUUUGAAAAGAUAGUGCCUCCAAAGGAAGAUACUGAAAUUGAAAACUUUGGAAUAAUACCAAAUCUGAAAAGCUUGAUGUUGAUAGACUCGCCGAAUCUCGAAGAGAUAGGAUUUGAACAAGACAUAAUUCUUGAAAGGUUAGAGUUAUUGAUUUUAAAGAACUAUCCUCGUAUGAUUAUCAUAAUACCUUCCUCUGUAUCUUUUACUCGCUUGACAAAUCUAGAAGUGGUCAAUUGUGAUGGAUUGCAAAGUCUAAUGUCAGCAUCUACUGCAAAAAGUUUGGUUCAACUUAACACCAUGAAGUAGUGAAAUGUCAAUCCCUGAUGGAAAUAGUAAGAAAUGAUGGAGAAAAAUCUGACAGAGUUAUUUUUCAACAAUUGAAAUCCCUAGAGCUGGUUUCACUGAACAAACUCAAGAGUUUUUGUGUCUCUAAUUGUGACUUUGAAUUUCCAUCAUUGGAGAAAUUAGUAGUGAGUGCAUGCUAUAAUAUGGCUAAAUUUUCUGAAACAGUCACCAGCUCACCAAUUUUACAAAAUGUACAUGUUGUACAUGGAAAAGACAACAAACGAUUCUGUUGGGAAGGAGAUAUAAAUGCUACGAUACAAAAAAUAUUCAAGGAAAAGAAUUUUUUUGAAGGCAUGGAGAUGAGCUUUGCCGAACAUCAGAACUUCAACGAACUUUGCCGAUGUCCCCAAUUGCAAUAUUUAUUUACAUCUUCAGUCGUCAAAAAGUUAGUGAACCUAGAAGAGAUCAUUGUGGAAGAAUGUGAAUCACUGAAAGAAAUAGUGGCCAAAGAGGAAGAUGAAGAUGAAAAUGAGAUGAUAUUCAUGAAGCUUGAGUAUUUGACUCUUAUCUCAUUAGACAAAUUUGAAAGCUUUUACACGGGGAAUUCCACUUUGAAUUUCUCAUCCUUGAGAGAAGUGAUGGUUAACCAAUGCCUCAGUACCAAAAUUUUCCGUCCUCGUGAUAAAGUUCCUCCGAGAUUCAGGGUGGUAAUAGAUGGAUUCCCUUAUAAAGGUGAUAAAAAAACCUCUUAUCAUGCAACAGUUUGAGGAGAAGGCAUCGUGAGUUAGUUCGUAGACAAAUUCCUUUGACUUGAAAUCGCUUAUGGUAGGUACCCUUGAAAACAUGUUUUCUUCUUUUUAUCAAGCACGCCAACAAAGAAGACAUGGAAUCUUACAAAUCGGUGAUGCAAAUGAGCUCGAGUCUUUUAUGGGUACAAGAGGAUCAUCUGGUGGUAGCAACAUUUAGGGUGUUGAUGAUGUUUUUUAGGAUGAAACUAUUUUAGUGUAUUAUGAACUUUGAGUAAGUAUAGAUUAAGUUGUAAUUGUUUCAAUUUAAAUUGCUUUUAUGUUAA